rnacentral:tRNA from 1 species
GGAAAGAUGGCAGAGUGGUCGAAUGUAUCGCACUCGAAAUGCGACGUAGGGGUGACCUUACCGGGGGUUCGAAUCCCUCUCUUUCCG